ACCCGUUGAUCCUGCGGGAGGUUGCUGCUAUGGGGAUUCGAUUAAGCCAUGCAAGUCGGAUCGCAAGAUCGGCGAAACGCUCAGUAACACGUCGUUAACAUGCCCUCGAGUCAAGGAUAAGCACGGGAAACUGUGUGUAAUACUUGAUAGGGAACACAACCUGGAACGGUGUGUUCUUCUAAACUCGUGCUCGAGGAUUGGACGGCGGCUGAUUAGGUAGUUGGCGGUGUAAUGGACCACCAAGCCUCAGAUCAGUACGGGCCAUGAGAGUGGUAGCCCGGAGAGGGACACUGAGAUACUGGUCCCAGCCCUACGGGGUGCAGCAGGCGCGAAACCUUUACAAUGCACGAAAGUGUGAUAAGGGAAUCCCCAGUGCUCACGUACUGCGUGGGCUUUUGCCAAGUGUAAAUAGCUUGGCGAAUAAGUGGUGGGUAAGACUGGUGCCAGCCGCCGCGGUAACACCAGCGCCACGAGUGGUAACCGCGAUUAUUGGGCCUAAAGCGUCCGUAGCCGGUUCGAUAAAUCUUUUGUGAAAUUGUACGGCUUAACCGUACAACGUGCAAGGGACACUGUCGAACUCGAGACCGGGAGGAGUCAGAAGUAUUCCAGGGGGAGCGGUAAAAUGUUAUAAUCCCUGGAGGACUACCUGUGGCGAAGGCGUCUGACCAGAACGGAUCUGACGGUGAGGGACGAAAGCUAGGGGAGCGAACCGGAUUAGAUACCCGAGUAGUCCUAGCCGUAAACGCUGUGAGUUAGGUGUUGCACCAGCUACAUGUUGGUGCAGUGUCGAAAGGAAGCUGUUAAACUCACCGCCUGGGAAGUACGGUCGCAAGACUGAAACUUUAAGGAAUUGGCGGGGGAGCACCACAAGGGGUGCGGCGUGCGGUUUAAUCUAAUUCAACGCAGAAAAUCUUACUAGGGGCGACGGCAGGAUGAAGAUCAACUUGAAGAGUUUAUCUGACAAGCCGAGAGGUGGUGCAUGGCCGCCGUCAGCUCGUGCUGUGAAGUGUCCUCUUAAGUGAGGCAACGAGCGAGACCUGUAUUCGCAAUUGCUAACAGCCACAUGUGGGACUGAGCACUUUGCGAAGACUGCCCUGGAAACAGGGAGGAAGGUGCAGGCUACGGUAGGUCUGUAUGCCCCGAAUCCCCUAGGCUACACGCGCGCAACAAUGGUUGGGACAAUGGGAUGCCACUCCGAAAGGGGAAGCUAAACCUCUAAACCCAAUCCAAGUCUAGAUUGAGGCUUGCAACUCAGCCUCAUGACAACGGAAUCCCUAGUAAUCAGAAGUCAUCAUCUUCUGGUGAAUAUGUCCCUGCUCCUUGCACACACCGCCCGUCAAAUCAACCGAGCAGGGUUUUCGGUAAAGUAUAGUUUCUUGAUUAUACUGAAUCGGAGCUCAGUGAGGUGGGUUAAGUCGUCACAAGGUA
rnacentral:rRNA from 1 species